UGCAAGUCUGAGCGGACCGACGGGAGCUUGCUCCCUUAGGUCAGCGGCGGACGGGUGAGUAACACGUGGGUAACCUGCCUGUAAGACUGGGAUAACUCCGGGAAACCGGGGCUAAUACCGGAUGCUUGAUUGAACCGCAUGGUUCAAUCAUAAAAGGUGGCUUUUAGCUACCACUUACAGAUGGACCCGCGGCGCAUUAGCUAGUUGGUGAGGUAACGGCUCACCAAGGCGACGAUGCGUAGCCGACCUGAGAGGGUGAUCGGCCACACUGGGACUGAGACUCGGCCCAGACUCCUACGGGAGGCAGCAGUAGGGAAUCUUCCGCAAUGGACGAAAGUCUGACGGAGCAACGCCGCGUGAGUGAUGAAGGUUUUCGGAUCGUAAAACUCUGUUGUUAGGGAAGAACAAGUACCGUUCGAAUAGGGCGGUACCUUGACGGUACCUAACCAGAAAGCCACGGCUAACUACGUGCCAGCAGCCGCGGUAAUACGUAGGUGGCAAGCGUUGUCCGGAAUUAUUGGGCGUAAAGCGCGCGCAGGCGGUUUCUUAAGUCUGAUGUGAAAGCCCCCGGCUCAACCGGGGAGGGUCAUUGGAAACUGGGGAACUUGAGUGCAGAAGAGGAGAGUGGAAUUCCACGUGUAGCGGUGAAAUGCGUAGAGAUGUGGAGGAACACCAGAUGGCGAACGCGACUCUCUGGUCUGUAACUGACGCUGAGGCGCGAAAGCGUGUGGAGCGAACAGGAUUAGAUACCCUGGC
rnacentral:rRNA from 1 species